rnacentral:rRNA from 1 species
UACGUAGGGUGCAAGCGUUUAAUCGGAAUUACUGGGCGUAAAGCGUACGCAGGCGGCUUUGCAAGACAGGUGUGAAAUCCCCGGGCCUAACCUGGGAACUGCGUUUGAUACGGUGUGGCUAGAGUUCGGGAGAGGAGAGUGGAAUUCCCAGUGUAGAGGUGAAAUUCGUAGAUAUUGGGAAGAACACCGAUGGCGAAGGCGCACUCUGGACCGAGACUGACGCUGCGGCGAA